CAAGCCAAACGCAACGGGGAACCAGUUCCAAAUCCGGAUCCGAACCCCAAUCGCAUUACGCCCAAUCAGUUCCUCUCUUGGAAACGCCAAAAGAGGAUAUAGCUGCAGGAGUAGUGCAAAUGAAUGGCCGGGAGCUUUUCUUGCAUCAACCCUCAGUCUUUGAUAAUGAUCUUUACUGACAUGUUUUUAUUGGUUUCAGAAUGUUACAAACCUUGUUUCUCAUGUUGAAGUUAAGAAAUGCUACCUGAACACUUCAUUAA